rnacentral:rRNA from 1 species
GAUGAACGCUGGCGGCGUGCCUAAUACAUGCAAGUCGAGCGAACAGACGAGGAGCUUGCUCCUCUGACGUUAGCGGCGGACGGGUGAGUAACACGUGGAUAACCUACCUAUAAGACUGGGAUAACUUCGGGAAACCGGAGCUAAUACCGGAUAAUAUAUUGAGCCGCAUGGUUCAAUAGUGAAAGACGGUUUUGCUGUCACUUAUAGAUGGAUCCGCGCCGCGUUAGCUAGUUGGUAAGGUAACGGCUUACCAAGGCAACGAUGCGUAGCCGACCUGAGAGGGUGAUCGGCCACACUGGAACUGAGACACGGUCCAGGCUCCUACGGGAGGCAGCAGUAGGGAAUCUUCCGCAAUGGGCGAAAGCCUGACGGAGCAACGCCGCGUGAGUGAUGAAGGUCUUCGGAUCGUAAAACUCUGUUAUUAGGGAAGAACAAAUGUGUAAGUAACUAUGCACGUCUUGACGGUACCUAAUCAGAAAGCCACGGCUAACUACGUG